GCAUAUCACAUCAUAAUCGCAUGUGAUCUUGUUUGAUUUUGGAAGAUAAUCAAGGUUGGUCUUGGUAAGUAUUUGGAUGGGAGGCCAGAAGGGAAUGCCAGGAAUCCC
rnacentral:rRNA from 1 species